CGCGGAAGCCUUUGCACCCCUACGGGGGAGCCCAGCGACUCUAAACAAUGGGCUGCGCAGGUAGCUUAACAAGCUGCAACACGAUCGAAUUGCGGGGACGUCCUAAAGCCUAACGGUACCAACCUCGGGGGGAAACCUCAGGGGGGCUUGCGCUAACUACGCAGGGUGGUCAGAACCCGUUAGGAUGCUACAGUGGACAAUCCGCAGCGAAGCCCCUACCGGCCUCAGGGCCCACGGGGAGCGCUCACAGACUAGGUGGUCGUGGAGAGGGCGCUGAGCCAGCGUCCUGUCUAAGAUAUAGUCGGGCUGCUUGGGAGACUGAGCAGGGUGUUUCGCACCGGACCGUUCCGUAGGUGAACCUGCGGAAGGAUCAUUACAGAGUUCAUGCCCUCACGGGUAGACCUCCCACCCUUGUGUAUUAAUACCAUGUUGCUUUGGCGGGCCGUCAGGCUUCGGUCAGGCCUCCGGCUCAGGCUGGGGAGCGCCCGCCAGAGGACCCCAAAACUCUGAAUGUUAGUGUCGUCUGAGUACUAUAUAAUAGUUAAAACUUUCAACAACGGAUCUCUUGGUUCUGGCAUCGAUGAAGAACGCAGCGAAAUGCGAUAAGUAAUGUGAAUUGCAGAAUUCAGUGAAUCAUCGAAUCUUUGAACGCACAUUGCGCCCCUUGGUAUUCCGGGGGGCAUGCCUGUUCGAGCGUCAUUUCAACCCUCAAGCACAGCUUGGUGUUGGGCCCUGCCAGCGAUGGCAGGCCCUAAAAUUAGUGGCGGUGCCGCUGAGCCCUGAGCGUAGUAAUCUCCUCGCUACAGGGCCUCUGCGUGCUUUCGCCAGAACCCCCAAUU
rnacentral:rRNA from 1 species